GAUGAAGAACGUAGCGAAAUGCGAUAAGUAAUGUGAAUUGCAGAAUUCAGUGAAUCAUCGAAUCUUUGAACGCACAUUGCGCCCCCUGGUAUUCCGGGGGGCAUGCCUGUCCGAGCGUCAUUUCAACCCUCAAGCCCCGCUUGGUGUUGGGCCCCGCCCGCUGUGGCCGGCCCUAAAGACAGUGGCGGCGCCGCCUGGCCCUCAGCGUAGUACAUCUCUCGCUCCAGGGUCCGGUGGCCGCCUGCCAGAACCCCCCAACUCUGUGGUUGACCUCGGAUCAGGUAGGGAUACCCGCUGAACUUAAGCAUAUCAAUAAGCGGAGGA
rnacentral:misc_RNA from 1 species